rnacentral:rRNA from 1 species
AUGGUGGAAUCUGACCAGAUAAACGGGACGCCCAACAGGAUGUCCUCGGUCGAAGAGUUCUGUAAAGCGCUCGGGGGCGACUCGCCGAUACACAGCGUGCUGGUUGCCAACAAUGGGAUGGCUGCGGUCAAGUUCAUGCGCAGCAUCCGCACCUGGGCCUUGGAGACCUUUGGGAACGAGAAGGCCAUUCUCUUGGUGGCUAUGGCGACUCCAGAGGACCUCAGGAUUAAUGCGGAGCACAUAAGAAUCGCCGACCAGUUCUUAGAAGUUCCUGGUGGGACGAAUAGUAACAACUAUGCAAAUGUACAGCUCAUAGUGGAGAUAGCAGAGAGAACUCGGGUUUCUGCAGUUUGGCCUGGCUGGGGUCAUGCUUCUGAGAACCCAGAACUUCCAGAUGCGCUCAUGGAAAAGGGAAUCAUUUUUCUUGGGCCACCGUCAGCCGCGAUGGGGGCACUAGGUGAUAAGAUUGGUUCUUCUCUUAUCGCACAAGCAGCAGGAGUUCCAACUCUUCCAUGGAGCGGGUCACAUGUGAAAGUUCCGCAAGAAACCUGCCACUCAAUACCUGAGGAGAUCUAUAAGAAAGCUUGUGUUUCAACUACAGACGAAGCAGUCGCUAGUUGUCAGGUGGUGGGGUAUCCUGCAAUGAUCAAGGCAUCAUGGGGUGGGGGUGGUAAAGGAAUAAGGAAGGUACACAAUGAUGAUGAGGUCAGAGCAUUGUUUAAGCAAGUGCAAGGAGAAGUCCCCGGAUCGCCUAUAUUUAUUAUGAAGGUGGCAUCUCAGAGUCGACAUCUAGAGGUUCAAUUGCUCUGUGACAAGCAUGGCAACGUGGCAGCACUGCACAGUCGAGACUGUAGUGUUCAAAGAAGGCAUCAAAAGAUCAUUGAGGAGGGACCAAUUACAGUUGCUCCUCCAGAAACAAUUAAAGAGCUUGAGCAGGCGGCAAGGCGACUAGCUAAAUGUGUGCAAUAUCAGGGUGCUGCUACAGUGGAAUAUCUGUACAGCAUGGAAACAGGCGAAUACUAUUUCCUGGAGCUUAAUCCAAGGUUGCAGGUAGAACACCCUGUGACCGAAUGGAUUGCUGAAAUNNNNNNNNNNNNNNNNNNNNNNNNNNNNNNNNNNNNNNNNNNNNNNNNNNNNNNUGCAGAGAUCAGACGCUUUUAUGGAAUAGAACAUGGAGGUGGCUAUCAUGCUUGGAAGGAAAUAUCAGCUGUUGCAACUAAAUUUGAUUUGGACAAAGCACAGUCUGUAAAGCCAAAAGGUCAUUGUGUAGCAGUUAGAGUUACUAGCGAGGAUCCAGAUGAUGGGUUUAAGCCUACCAGUGGAAGAGUAGAAGAGCUGAACUUUAAAAGUAAACCCAAUGUUUGGGCCUAUUUCUCCGUUAAGUCCGGAGGUGCAAUUCACGAGUUCUCUGAUUCCCAGUUUGGUCAUGUUUUUGCUUUUGGGGAAUCUAGGUCAUUGGCAAUAGCCAAUAUGGUACUUGGGUUAAAAGAGAUCCAAAUUCGUGGAGAGAUACGCACUAAUGUUGACUACACUGUGGAUCUCUUGAAUGCUGCAGAGUACCGAGAAAAUAAGAUUCACACUGGUUGGCUAGACAGCAGAAUAGCUAUGCGCGUUAGAGCAGAGAGGCCCCCAUGGUACCUUUCAGUUGUUGGUGGAGCUCUAUAUGAAGCAUCAAGCAGGAGCUCGAGUGUUGUAACCGAUUAUGUUGGUUAUCUCAGUAAAGGUCAAAUACCACCAAAGCACAUCUCUCUUGUCAAUUUGACUGUAACACUGAAUAUAGAUGGGAGCAAAUAUACGAUUGAGACAGUACGAGGUGGACCCCGUAGCUACAAAUUAAGAAUUAAUGAAUCAGAGGUUGAAGCAGAGAUACAUUCUCUGCGAGAUGGCGGACUCUUAAUGCAGUUGGAUGGAAACAGUCAUGUAAUUUACGCCGAGACAGAAGCUGCUGGCACGCGCCUUCUAAUCAAUGGGAGAACAUGCUUAUUACAGAAAGAGCACGAUCCUUCCAGGUUGUUGGCUGAUACACCGUGCAAACUUCUUCGGUUUUUGGUCGCGGAUGGUUCUCAUGUGGUUGCUGAUACGCCAUAUGCCGAGGUGGAGGUCAUGAAAAUGUGCAUGCCGCUGUUACUACCGGCCUCUGGUGUCAUUCACUUUGUCAUGCCUGAGGGUCAGGCCAUGCAGGCGAGUGAUCUGAUAGCAAGGUUGGAUCUUGAUGACCCAUCUUCUGUGAGAAGAGCUGAACCAUUUCAUGGCACCUUUCCAAAACUUGGACCUCCUACUGCUAUUUCUGGCAAAGUUCACCAAAAGUUUGCUGCAAGUGUGAAUUCUUCCCACAUGAUCCUUGCAGGAUAUGAACAUAACAUCAAUCAUGUUGUACAAGAUUUGCUAAACUGCCUAGACAGCCCUGAGCUCCCUUUCCUACAGUGGCAAGAACUCAUGUCCGUUUUGGCAACCCGACUCCCGAAAGAUCUUAGGAAUGAGUUGGAUGCUAAGUACAAGGAGUAUGAGUUGAAUGCUGACUUCCGGAAGAGCAAGGAUUUCCCUGCCAAGUUGCUAAGGGGAGUCAUUGAGGCUAAUCUUGCAUACUGUUCCGAGAAAGAUAGGGUUACUAGUGAGAGGCUUGUAGAGCCACUUAUGAGCCUGGUCAAGUCAUAUGAGGGUGGAAGAGAAAGCCAUGCUCGUGCGGUUGUCAAGUCUCUGUUUGAGGAGUAUUUAUCUGUUGAAGAGCUCUUCAGCGAUGACAUUCAGUCUGAUGUGAUAGAACGUCUACGACUUCAACAUGCAAAAGACCUUGAGAAGGUCGUAUAUAUUGUGUUUUCCCACCAGGGUGUGAAAAGUAAAAAUAAAUUAAUACUUCGGCUUAUGGAAGCAUUGGUCUAUCCAAAUCCAUCUGCGUACAGGGACCAGUUGAUUCGCUUUUCUGCCCUUAACCAUACAGCAUACUCUGGGCUGGCGCUUAAAGCAAGUCAACUUCUUGAGCACACUAAAUUGAGUGAACUCCGCACAAGCAUAGCAAGAAGCCUUUCAGAGCUGGAGAUGUUUACUGAGGAAGGAGAGCGGAUUUCAACACCCAGGAGGAAGAUGGCUAUCAAUGAAAGGAUGGAAGAUUUAGUAUGUGCCCCGGUUGCAGUUGAAGACGCCCUUGUGGCUUUGUUUGAUCACAGUGAUCCUACACUUCAACGGAGAGUUGUUGAGACAUACAUACGCAGAUUGUAUCAGCAUUAUCUUGUAAGGGGCAGUGUCCGGAUGCAAUGGCACAGGUCUGGUCUAAUUGCUUUAUGGGAAUUCUCUGAGGAACAUAUUGAACAAAGAAAUGGGCAAUCUGCGUCACUUCUAAAGCCACAAGUAGAGGAUCCAAUUGGCAGGCGAUGGGGUGUAAUGGUUGUAAUCAAGUCUCUUCAGCUUCUGUCAACUGCAAUUGAAGCUGCAUUAAAGGAGACUUCACAUUACGGAGCAGGUGUUGGAAGUGUCUCAAAUGGCAAUCCUAUAAAUUCUAACAGUAGCAACAUGCUGCAUAUUGCUUUGGUUGGUAUCAACAAUCAGAUGAGCACUCUUCAAGACAGUGGUGAUGAGGAUCAAGCGCAAGAAAGGAUCAACAAACUCUCCAAGAUUUUGAAGGAUAACACUAUAACAUCACAUCUCAAUGAUGCUGGUGUUAGGGUUGUCAGCUGCAUUAUCCAAAGAGAUGAAGGGCGUUCACCAAUGCGCCACUCCUUCAAAUGGUCGUCUGACAAGUUAUAUUAUGAGGAGGACCCGAUGCUCCGCCAUGUGGAACCUCCUUUGUCCACCUUCCUUGAAUUGGACAAAGUGAAUUUAGAAGGUUACAAUGACGCGAAAUACACCCCAUCACGUGAUCGCCAGUGGCACAUGUACACACUAGUAAAGAACAAGAAAGAUCCGAGAUCAAAUGACCAAAGGAUGUUUCUUCGUACCAUAGUCAGACAGCCAAGUGUGACCAAUGGGUUUUUGUUUGGAAGUAUUGAUAAUGAAGUUCAAGCCUCAUCAUCAUUCACAUCUAACAGCAUACUCAGAUCAUUGAUGGCAGCGCUAGAAGAAAUAGAGUUGCGUGCUCACAGUGAGACUGGGAUGUCAGGCCACUCCCACAUGUAUCUGUGCAUAAUGAGAGAACAGCGGUUGUUUGAUCUAAUUCCAUCUUCAAGGAUGACGAAUGAAGUUGGUCAAGAUGAGAAGACAGCAUGCACAUUAUUGAAGCAUAUGGUUAUGAAUAUAUAUGAGCAUGUUGGUGUCAGGAUGCAUCGCCUUUCCGUGUGCCAGUGGGAAGUGAAGCUAUGGUUGGAUUGUGAUGGGCAGGCUAAUGGUGCUUGGAGAGUUGUUGUUACCAGUGUAACUGGGCAUACCUGCACUGUUGAUAUUUACCGAGAAGUGGAGGACCCCAAUACACAUCAGCUUUUCUACCGCUCUGCCACACCCACAGCUGGUCCUUUGCAUGGCAUUGCAUUGCAUGAGCCAUACAAACCUUUGGAUGCUAUUGACCUGAAACGUGCCGCUGCUAGGAAAAAUGAAACCACAUACUGCUAUGAUUUCCCAUUGGCAUUUGAAACAGCAUUGAAGAAGUCAUGGGAAUCUGGUAUUUCACAUGUUGCAGAAUCUAAUGAGCAUAACCAGCGGUAUGCUGAAGUGACAGAGCUUAUAUUUGCUGAUUCAACUGGAUCAUGGGGUACUCCUUUGGUUCCAGUUGAGCGUCCUCCAGGUAGCAACAAUUUUGGUGUUGUUGCUUGGAACAUGAAGCUGUCCACACCAGAAUUUCCAGGCGGCCGGGAGAUUAUAGUUGUUGCAAAUGAUGUGACAUUUAAAGCUGGGUCUUUUGGUCCUAGAGAAGAUGCAUUCUUUGACGCUGUCACCAAUCUUGCUUGUGAGAGGAAAAUUCCUCUAAUUUACUUGUCAGCAACUGCUGGUGCUAGGCUUGGUGUAGCAGAGGAAAUAAAGGCGUGCUUCCAUGUUGGAUGGUCUGAUGACCAGAGCCCUGAACGUGGUUUUCACUACAUUUACCUCACUGAACAAGAUUAUUCACGUCUAAGCUCUUCAGUUAUAGCCCAUGAGCUAAAAGUACCGGAAAGCGGAGAAACCAGAUGGGUUGUUGAUACCAUUGUUGGGAAAGAGGACGGACUUGGUUGUGAGAAUCUACAUGGAAGUGGUGCCAUUGCCAGUGCCUACUCUAAGGCAUACAGAGAGACCUUUACUCUGACAUUUGUGACUGGGCGAGCUAUUGGAAUUGGGGCCUAUCUUGCUCGGUUAGGAAUGCGGUGUAUACAACGUCUUGAUCAACCAAUUAUUUUGACUGGGUAUUCUGCACUGAACAAGCUCCUGGGGCGCGAGGUUUAUAGCUCUCAGAUGCAACUUGGCGGCCCCAAAAUCAUGGCUACAAAUGGAGUUGUCCAUCUCACUGUGUCAGAUGAUCUUGAAGGUGUUUCUGCUAUCUUGAAAUGGCUCAGCUAUGUUCCUCCCUAUGUUGGCGGCCCUCUUCCUAUUGUGAAAUCUCUUGAUCCACCAGAGAGACCUGUAACAUAUUUCCCUGAGAAUUCAUGUGAUGCCCGUGCCGCCAUCUGUGGCAUUCAGGACACUCAAGGAGGCAAGUGGUUGGAUGGUAUGUUUGACAGAGAAAGCUUUGUGGAAACAUUAGAAGGAUGGGCCAAAACUGUUAUUACUGGAAGGGCAAAGCUGGGUGGGAUUCCAGUUGGUAUCAUAGCUGUGGAAACCGAGACAGUGAUGCAAGUAAUCCCUGCUGACCCUGGUCAGCUUGAUUCUGCCGAGCGUGUAGUCCCUCAAGCGGGACAGGUGUGGUUCCCAGAUUCGGCCGCAAAAACGGCCCAGGCACUGCUGGAUUUCAACCGUGAAGAGCUCCCGUUGUUCAUACUUGCUAACUGGAGAGGCUUUUCUGGUGGGCAAAGGGAUCUGUUUGAAGGAAUCCUUCAGGCUGGUUCUAUGAUUGUUGAGAAUCUGAGGACGUACAAGCAGCCUGCUUUUGUGUACAUACCAAAGGCUGGAGAGCUGCGUGGAGGUGCAUGGGUUGUGGUGGACAGCAAGAUCAAUCCGGAGCACAUUGAGAUGUAUGCCGAGAGGACUGCGAGAGGGAAUGUCCUUGAGGCACCAGGACUCAUUGAGAUCAAAUUCAAGCCAAAUGAAUUGGAAGAGAGUAUGCUAAGGCUGGACCCUGAGUUGAUCAGCCUCAAUGCUAAACUCCUCAAAGAAACUAGUGCUAGCCCUAGCCCUUGGGAAACGGCGGCGGCGGCGGAGACCAUCAGGAGGAGCAUGGCUGCUCGGAGGAAGCAGCUGAUGCCCAUAUAUACUCAGGUUGCCACCCGGUUUGCUGAGUUGCACGACACCUCCGCAAGAAUGGCUGCCAAAGGCGUGAUCAGUAAGGUGGUGGACUGGGAGGAGUCCCGGGCCUUCUUCUACAGGAGACUGCGAAGGAGGCUUGCCGAGGACUCGCUCGCCAAACAAGUCAGAGAAGCCGCCGGCGAGCAGCAGAUGCCCACUCACAGAUCAGCCUUGGAGUGCAUCAGGAAAUGGUACCUGGCCUCUCAAGGAGGAGACGGCGAGAAGUGGGGCGAUGAUGAAGCCUUCUUCACCUGGAAAGAUGAUCCUGACAAGUAUGGCAAGUAUCUUGAGGAGCUGAAAGCCGAGAGAGCGUCUACACUGCUGUCGCAUCUCGCUGAAACCUCGGACGCCAAGGCCUUGCCCAACGGUCUCUCGCUCCUCCUCAGCAAAAUGGAUCCUGCAAAGAGGGAGCAGGUUAUGGAUGGCCUCAGGCAGCUUCUUGGUUGA